rnacentral:tRNA from 1 species
GACCCCGUCGUCUAGCCCGGUCCAGGACACCGGCCUUUCACGCCGGCAACGCGGGUUCAAAUCCCGCCGGGGUCACCA